GCCGGGAUGGCGGAAUUGGUAGACGCGCCGGAUUCAAAAUCCGGUGGGGUUAAACCCGUGAGAGUUCGAGUCUCUCUCUCGGCA
rnacentral:tRNA from 1 species